UACGGGGGGGGCUAGCGUUGCUCGGAAUCGCUGGGCGUAAAGGGUGCGUAGGCGGGUCUUUAAGUCAGGGGUGAAAUCCUGGAGCUCAACUCCAGAACUGCCUUCGAUACUGGAGAGCUCGAGUCCGGGAGAGGUGAGUGGAACUGCGAGUGUAGAGGUGAAAUUCGUAGAUAUUCGCAAGAACACCAGUGGCGAAGGCGGCUCACUGGCCCGGUACUGACGCUGAGGUGCGAAAGCGUGGGGAGCAAACAGG
rnacentral:rRNA from 1 species